rnacentral:rRNA from 1 species
GUGGGGAAUAUUGGACAAUGGGCGAAAGCCUGAUCCAGCCAUGCCGCGUGUGUGAAGAAGGUCUUCGGAUUGUAAAGCACUUUAAGUUGGGAGGAAGGGCAGUAAGUUAAUACCUUGCUGUUUUGACGUUACCAACAGAAUAAGCACCGGCUAACUUCGUGCCAGCAGCCGCGGUAAUACGAAGGGUGCAAGCGUUAAUCGGAAUUACUGGGCGUAAAGCGCGCGUAGGUGGUUCAGCAAGUUGGAUGUGAAAGCCCCGGGCUCAACCUGGGAAUUGCAUCCAAAACUACUGAGCUAGAGUACGGUAGAGGGUGGUGGAAUUUCCUGUGUAGCGGUGAAAUGCGUAGAUAUAGGAAGGAACACCAGUGGCGAAGGCGACCACCUGGACUGAUACUGACACUGAGGUGCGAAAGCGUGGGGAGCAAACAGGAUUAGAUACCCGAGUAGUCC